rnacentral:lncRNA from 1 species
GACUGGUCCCUAGUUUCCUUUGGGGCCCAAGGAGAAGCCACCCCCAGCCUGGAUGACUCCAGUGAGGGCUCCCACCUCCGGGGCCAGCCGCAGACCCUUUGCGCGGUAGCCUGAGCCUCUUUGUAGCCAAUGCAGCCCCAGGCGGUAGCAGCGACCCCGAGGAGGGGCAGGGGCAGUGCCAGGUUCCAAAGGGAGCUGGAUGGGUGGACUGCCGGGUCUGGGGGGCAGCGGCCAGGACGCUGGUGCCUCACCAGGGCUGGGACUUCUGUUUGGCCAGCGGGAAGCCCCAACAGACCCCCAACGGACCCGGGGCUGGGCUGGGGGUGCGUAUAGAACGGAGGUGAGGCAGGUAUGGAAUGAAACGGAAAGCAAAAAAACGGAAACAGGAAGGAAUGGAAUGUGUGGGACACCAGUGGGGAGGACGGUUGACCAACAAGGGAGAAACCGAGACCAAAGGGGAAGGCUGUCAGAACGUCUCUUUCACUUCCUCUGAGACCCAAGGAAAUUCCCAGGGUGUGGUGUCCCCCAACCCAGAGUCAUGAGUCAGCAAACUCUCCUUUCCCUGACAACAGUGAGUACUACUAUUACUACUCCUACUCCUACUACUGGGGGCCAUCUCCAGUUGUCCUGAUCUGUAUCUUACCACUGGACCCAGAUGCCUUGGGAGGAGAAAGUGAGACUGGUGACCUUGCACAGCCCUCCCUCACUUAAAUCUAAUUUACAUCCAAAUCAUGGUAUCAUCUUCCAGAUGUCAUGGUCCUCUUCUAGAACAAAGGACAAAUGACAAUAAUAACAGCAAUUACUACUACUACUAAUGCUGCUACUGUUACUACUGCAGCUGCUGCUGCUGCUGCUGCUACUACUACUACUACUACUACUACUAUUGAAUUGAUAGUGGCCAGCAAAGACUUCUGAACUCAAUGAACAAAGCAGGCACUCACUGAUCCAGGCUUCUCAAUGCCCCCUGGACCUCUGGGGCCCAUUCUCUGGGGCCUUUUGUAAACAAGGGUGUUGCCAAGUCUCUCAUUUACUUUGUAAAGUAAACGCAUA